AGGCGCGUAGCUCAGGGGUAGAGCACUUCCUUGACACGGAAGGGGCCAGCAGUUCGAGACUGCUCGUGCCUACCA
rnacentral:tRNA from 1 species